UGAGAAAAGCAUAAUUCUGCCAGAUGC
rnacentral:piRNA from 1 species